rnacentral:lncRNA from 1 species
GCGGCAGCGUCUGCGCCGAAAGCGGAGUUCGGUGUUCGUGAAAGUGCAGCCUGGGCUUCGAGAGCGAGCCGGUGGGUGGGCUUCUUGUUUUGGGCGAGUUGAAAAGCGUUUGGCUCCGCUUUUCGGUCCGUAAGCGUUUGUUGGCGGCGGAGCGGUGCGGAGAGGCGCGGCUGGGGGUGCCGGGAGCCCCGAACCGCCGCCGGGAGCGGCCCCAGCGCUGUGUUUGGGUCGGGCGUUGCGCCGGACGGCGGGGGCUGAUUCUUCCUUAGUUUGGGCUCUCGGUUUGUUUUCGUACGGCACGGAAGCGGGAUGCAUUCCUGGAGGCUCUCUCGCGGUUUCUAGCAGCGCAGCCGGCUGCGUUAAACUCCUCCGGGAUGGUGCCGGGUUGGGACGUUCUCUUCCCGCCGCGGGGCACCCGGAGCUGCUCGCUGUGGGAACGAGGCGACGGCUGAGGGACGGAGCGCAGCCUCGGGGUCCCACAUCGGAACCGCUCGUCUCCCUGCCGGCUCCGCGUUCCCCGUCUGGAGGCCGCGGCCCUCCUGCGUGCCUCACAGGGAGAAACGGAGGCAGCCGUGCUGGGCUUUGCUGUGAUCGGAAGCCGUGCCGGGGCCUGGCUACGCGCUCGGGUUCUCGUUGUCCUCAGUGUCAGACUGCCCCUCUGCCGUCGUCUGUCCCACGGCAGUAAAUGUAGCGGGAUGUUGGUGGGAAGGUUCAGCCUCUGCUGCAGUGUCACCGGCGCUCACCUCUGACGCCAUGGGCCAAUUUGGUAACGCCAUGGAGAUGUGUUGGUGUGAGUCCCCAGGCCCUGUGACAGGGAGAGGUGCAGUGUUUGCGGAUGGUGGCCCUGCCAGCAGUGCUGCUGUGUCUGAGGACUCUGCUGGCUGUGCUGUGCUGCUCUUGAGGAAGGAGCCAGUGCUGCCUAUAGGCCAGCCCAGCAUGGCGAGGCUUUAAAUGCUGAUGUAAAACUAUCACAACGUGACUCCCAACGCUGCCCCCAGCACAUGGCGUGGUACGUAAUGUUGGUGGAAAGAGGCCCUGAAAUGAGCUUUUCCAUCCCACGCUGACUGUGGCAUCCUGUCCAUGACAACAUGGCCGGAGCACGGUGUGCCACACAGGGAGCUCUGCCUAAGCAGGACCAGUCACACACGUGGUUUUGUUGUCUUUUCGAGGCAGUUUUUGCAAUUAGUUGGUGUGUGAGUGCUAGGGAAGGGCUGGUAGAAUGGAUCCAGGCAUGGGAAGCUCAUUUCCAGCACCUAUCAGUGAAGGUUGGUGUGGUUAUUCCCUGGCAAAGAUGGGAAUGGUUUGGGAUAAUGGCGCUGAACUGCCACAUAACUGCACCCUGAGGAUGGGGAGCAGAGGGUGGUGUGGGGCUUUGCGCCCGGGAACUGAAAGCAGGAGGGAACGGCACAGAGCUGUGCCAGGGCAGGGUCAGAGCGGGCAUUGGGAAACUUCCUUCACCAUGAGGGUGGUCAGACACCGGGAGAGGCGGCACAGCAAGGCAGCUGGUGCCCUGUGGCUGUCAGCGUGUGGGAGGCAUUUGGACAACGCCCUCAUUGAGUGCUGUAACUUUUGGUUGGCCCUGAGGUGGUCAGGCAGUGGGAGGAGUUGAUCCCUGAAGGUCCCUUCCAGCUGGACUUCCAAUAUGUAUGGAACAAGAUAGGCCAUCCCUGUCUGGCUGUGCAGAGAAGCAGGUGUUUUGCUCCGCAGCACUCCAGUGUUUGUCCUCAGCUCUGGGUACUCUCCAGGGACAAAGCGUUUGGGCCAAUAAACAGACGUGGCAUUUUAAUGACAUGGUAGCCUACUACCCCAUGCUUGCUGCAGUGUUUGUAUGCUUGCUACCCCAUUUUUUUUUCCCCAGUGCAGCCAGCAGCCAGCUGUGAGGUUUGCUUUAUUCCCAUCGCAAGCAUAAGCUCUGCUGGAGCUGCAGUGUGCCGAUGCCGUGAAGGGUGUUAAUUUUUUCACACCUGUGGGUGUGAUAUCAGCUGCUGUAUCCAUAAACUCGGGAUGGAGCGGGCUGCUCCCACCUCAUGCUGAGGAUGUGAGGAUGCACUGCUGGGGCUGGGAGUGGGGAAUUCCAACCCGACAGCUUCUCCCAGCUGUGCCCGUGCCCUGCAGAGCCAGCAAUGUAAGCGCCAGUUCUGGUCACGCUUUGAAGUGUUUCUGACCCUUACAGCAGCAACUUGCUUUUGAAAAGUUACCACAUGAGUAAUGCAGUGGGAGACUUCACGUGUAUGUCCAAAACACAAACGAAAGCCAAGAAAUUCCUGUUUCCAGUCAGCUUUGCCAUUUUCUUGUGUUUGUUGCAGCGUGACAGGACAAGGGGGAAUGGUUUUAAACUGGGACAGGGGAGGUUUAGGUUGGAUAUUAGGAGGAAGAUUUUCACCCAGAGGGUGGUGACGCACUGGAACAGGUUGCCCAGGGAGGCUGUGGAUGCCCCAUC